rnacentral:rRNA from 1 species
UACGUAGGUGGCAAGCGUUGUCCGGAAUUACUGGGCGUAAAGGGCGUGUAGGCGGCCUUUUAAGUCAGACGUGAAAACCCUGGGCUUAACCCAGGACCUGCGUUUGAUACUGGAGGGCUUGAGGAUCGGAGAGGACAGUGGAAUUCCCAGUGUAGCGGUGAAAUGCGUAGAUAUUGGGAGGAACACCAGUGGCGAAGGCGACUGUCUGGACGACACCUGACGCUGAGGCGCGAAAGCCAGGGGAGCAAAC